rnacentral:rRNA from 1 species
AUUGAACGCUGGCUGCAGUCCUAACCCAUGCAAGUCGAACGAGUGGCGGAUGCGGGAGUAAUGUCUGGGAAACCGCCUGAUGGAGGGGGAGCACUAAUGGAAACUGUAGCGAAUACCGCAUACCAUUAGAUGUGCCCAGAUGGGAUUAGCUAGUUGGUGGGGUAACGGCUCACCAAGGCGACCAUCCCUAGCUGGUCUGAGAGGAUGACCAGCCACACUGGAACUGAGACACGGUACAGACUCCUACGAGAGGCAGCAGUGGGGAAUAUAGCACAAUGGGCGCAAGCCUGAUGCAGCCAUGCCGCGUGUAUGAAGAAGGCCUUCGGGUUGUAAAGUACUUUCAGCGGGGAGGCGUUACCCGCAGAAGAAGCACCGGCUAACUCCGUGCCAGCAGCCGCGGUAAUUC